GCUCGACAUCGUCCCUCUCUCCCCGGACCCUCCUCUCCGACGAUUGCCGAGGCGGCGACAGUGACGGCGAUGGUGCCGGAGGGACGGCCCGGAGAAAAGGGCUACUCGCCUCUCAUACGUGGAGUACUCCCCCCUUUCCCUCUUCAUGGGGUAGCGAUCAGGAGGCGAAUUGGGCAGUGCGGCGAUACAGUGCGAGCUCGACGACGGCAACGACCUUCUCCGGCGUCCCUGUACGCCGCCGGAGGUCUUCUCACCGUUAAGGUCUCCCUCCUCUUAUUCCUUCCCCUUUCCUCCAUGAAUUUCUGAAUUUUUAGUGUUAGGGUUCUUGAUUUUUUGAGGAUGGACAAAGAAAGAGGAAGUAGACCAAGAAAGGAGAUGAAAGAAAAGAGGGGAGCUUGCGUGUUUGAGGGGGUGAUGGAGUAGACCUUUGCUCGAUUGUGGGAUCAUUUGAAGGAGGUGGAAAUCAUGCAGGAGGAGAAGAAGAGGAGAAUCUCAACGAUGCGGAGGAACAACAUUAGUAUCUUCUUCCAUCGAGCCAAAGAAGAAGGCACAGAAGGAAACCAUAAAGGGUAAAACACAAGAAAAUUUGAAAGAACGAGACGAAUGCUGCGAGCAACGAAGAAAUCACUCCCGAAUAAGAAGUACAAAUCAUUCAAGCCCAAGUAUCUGUUCAAGCGGAUGAUGGUUAAUGUAUGAGGGAUAGAGAAUUACAGAGCAAUGUCUUCGUCUUUAAUAACCAGAAGAAAUAUUCAUGUUUUGGUUAGAAGAAAAGUGAACCUAAAGGGUACGGUACUAUUAAUAGGAUACUAUGUUGGUUACAGGCUUACAGUCCAUGGAUAAUAAUGUUUCAGUCGCUGCAGAGAUUGCUGAAUAGAUAAGUUGAUGUAAAAUUUCUGGUCACCUACAAAUUAAGCUGCUUGAAGAUCAAGUUCGACAGUAAUCAGCUUUCAAGUUAGCUUACAUUUUUGUCCUUGGAAACACGACGGAGAAGUCACAAGGAGCUGCAAUAUACGUGUACAUGUAACUGUUGUCCAGGCCCUGGAACCUUUUCAAUAACCUUUGCUGAAACUGUAGGGUCAUCCAGACGUGGAUGUUGUAAAGGCUAACUGGAGAUAUAGCAAAAACUGUAGGGUCAUCCGAUGUGGUUUUGUAACCUCUAAUUCGAAAUCCAGUGUCCGCAGUUUGUCAUGGCUGAACCACUGCCCAUCUCGUGAAGGACGAGAGGAACUUAGUUUUCUCUAUAGAUUGAAUUUGUACGUGCUACUUUGUCAAGCAAUGAAUCAAACUUAUUGCUCUGUAAUUUUUAUGUAAACUCGGAUCAUCUUUGUUCAUUGUUACACCGAUGUAGUCAUGUCAUUUUUAUGUC